GUCAGAAUUGCAUCGUUCACUACAACACCGACAUGAUGCUCCUCACCAACAGAUGCUUUAAUGGUGGUUGAUAAUGCCAGUUCACUCUUCCGGUUAAUUACCUUACAGACGGGAUGAACUUCAACGCUGAAUCUGAUUUUACCAAUAACAUUGACACCAAUAUCGAUACACUUCCACAAGAUAAAGAUCCAAACAAACCAAAAUAAACAAAAGUCACCAGUAUAUUUUGGACACCGGGCACUUUUAGAAUGAUGCCUGUCGUAUCACACGUAGGUCCUAUAUAUAUCCUAUACAGCAGUCGCGUACUCGGGGUGCCAGAUACUUAAAACACGUUUGUUGGAUACAGAGGAACUGGUUUUCUUGAGAUAUUUGUUGUAUUUAUGCAAAUAAUGCAGAUGAACGCACAGUGGGCUCAUUGUGGUAGCAGCAUUCGUCAGAAUCGUGUCCUUUGCGAGUGUAUAGUACUGGCCCAAAUCACUCCCAGGUUACAUCGAAGAAAAUUUGAAAAUAAUCAUAAUUAUCAAAAAGAUAGCAUUUGUGUGUCAAUACGUAAAAGUUGAUUAUGUCUCUGGAAAACGACAUAUGAAAUCAAAUUAUACAAGAAAAAGCAAGAGGAGCUGGAGCUUAAAAUUAAAGAGCUUUUCAACUAUCUCAAUAAUCGAGGAAAUCAACUGGAAACAAUAAAAAAACAUUGCGAAGAAACCAAACUGCAAAUAACCGAGGUUACAUCGAACGAGAAAAGGAUUCUUGCAAUACACGAGCUCGAGAAAUCUCGUUAUUCGAAACUUCGAAGAGCUGUUAAUGAGCAUAAGGAGGCUUUCUCGCGUGCUAUUCGGAAACAAAGGAUCAAUUCUUGUCAAGUGAACUCUAAAACGCAUAGUCCGGUUGUACCUUUCCCAAACCAGGUAUCUUACGUGAAUUACUCCCUAGAAUGUCAGUUAGAUGAGAGAAAAAGAUAUUUGGAUAAUGUCAAACGUAAGUUGUCGAAGCGUGAACAGGAUAUUGUUAUCAAGAAAAAUUACAAUGCAGCCAGAAUUAUACGACUCAGGAAGCUUUUGCAGUCAAACGAGGCGAAGCGGGCUCUGUGCAAGGAGCAAUUGACUGCUUUAAAAUCUAAACAGAAUAGACGGUACUAAUUUUGCCGUUGGAAAAAUCGCCAAGUCAGGAAGAAUCCGAUCUCGGUAAAGGUUAUCAAACUGCAGCCCAGAAAGAAUCCACCAAGGCCACCAAUAUAAAC